rnacentral:lncRNA from 10 species
CACAUAGCAGUGGUAGGGUUUGAAGAGCAGAAAGGAAAUUCCCAAUGGAUGAGAACAAUUUCAGGACCUCAUAAGUGGCAUUAUGGACAUUGCUUAUAAACUACAAGUUAUUUGGCAAAGCUUCUUCUCUUCAACUUUCAAUGCAGAAUAAAGAAUUUCUGAAGUAGUACACCCUAUCCAUUUAUUGACAAGCAAAAAUGUCAUGUGGCUUGGAUGAGUGAAACCUCAUGAUUACUUUUAUUACCUUCCUUCAGUUGCUAAUGAAUAAAGUUCUAACUCGCAUAGUUUUUGUUGUUGGUUGCAUUUCCUCAUUUGUAAAUAUUUUCUUUUUAUUAUACACCAUGCAAUAAUAGCUACUGUUUUAUAAUCAUGUUUUUAUAAUUUGUUAAUGUAGAAUUAUAAUUUUUAGAGUG